rnacentral:rRNA from 1 species
GAUGAACGCUGGCGGUAUGCUUAACACAUGCAAGUCGAACGGAGUGCUUCGGCACUUAGUGGCGGACGGGUGAGUAACGCGUGAGAAUCUGGCUUCGGGUUCGGGACAACAGUGGGAAACUGCUGCUAAUACCGGAUGUGCCUAAGGGUAAAAGAUUAAUUGCCCGAAGAUGAGCUCGCGUCCGAUUAGCUAGUCGGUGUGGUAAGAGCGCACCAAGGCGUCGAUCGGUAGCUGGUCUGAGAGGACGAGCAGCCACACUGGGACUGAGACACAGCCCAGAGUCCUACGGGAGGCAGCAGUGGGGAAUUUUCCGCAAUGGGCGAAAGCCUGACGGAGCAAUGCCGCGUGAGGGAGGAAGGCUCUUGGGUUGUAAACCUCUUUUCUCAGGGAAGAAAAAAAUGACGGUACCUGAGGAAUCAGCAUCGGCUAACUCCGUGCCAGCCGCCGCAGUAAAAC